GACGAACGCUGGCGGCGUGCUUAACACAUGCAAGUCGAACGGUGACCUCGAGAGCUUGCCCUUGAGUGAUCAGUGGCGAACGGGUGAGUAACACGUGAGUAACCUGCCCCAGACUCUGGAAUAACCCCGGGAAACCGGAGCUAAUACCGGAUACGAAGUGGAGCCGCAUGGCUACUACUUGGAAAGUUUUUCGGUCUGGGAUGGACUCGCGGCCUAUCAGCUAGUUGGUGAGGUAACGGCUCACCAAGGCGACGACGGGUAGCCGGCCUGAGAGGGCGACCGGCCACACUGGGACUGAGACACGGCCCAGACUCCUACGGGAGGCAGCAGUGGGGAAUAUUGCACAAUGGGCGAAAGCCUGAUGCAGCGACGCCGCGUGAGGGAUGACGGCCUUCGGGUUGUAAACCUCUUUCAGCAGGGAAGAAGCGAAAGUGACGGUACCUGCAGAAGAAGCACCGGCUAACUACGUGCCAGCAGCCGCCGUAAUAC
rnacentral:rRNA from 1 species